rnacentral:tRNA from 1 species
GGGGCUGGGGCUCAGUGGUAGAGUGCUGGCCUAGCACAUCGGAGGCCCUGGGUUCAAACCUCAGCACCA